AUGAACCUCGGCUGUCUCAUCCUCACUGUCUGCCUGGGCCACCUCCUGGGCACCAUGGGGCAGAUCGUUGUCACCCAGGAAGAUGGAGAAGUCCUGGUGAAGCAGAAAGGCCUCUUCCAGACCACCUGUACAUACCAGACCAAUUACUUCAAUGGAUUGUUGUGGUACCAGCAGAGGAAAGGACAAGCCCCACAGCUGCUCUCGUCUCAGGCGGGGGCCGGCCAGAGGCAGAGCGGCCGUAUCAGCACGGAGCUGAACACCACGGGGAAAUACAGUGUCCUGCAGGUGGAGGAAGUGGAGGUCUCUGACAGUGCCUUGUACCUCUCUCUCGCUCCGCUGCUGCUGAUUUCGGCCCAACAAGGCCGGUUUCACUGCAGCUUGGAUGCUGAGUUGACCUCAGUGUAA